rnacentral:rRNA from 1 species
GUGAACGCUGGCGGUAGGCCUAACACCUGCAAGUCGCACGGCAGCACAGUAAGAGCUUGCUCUUACGGGUGGCGAGUGGCGGACGGGUGAGGAAUACAUCGGAAUCUACUUUUUCGUGGGGGAUAACGUAGGGAAACUUACGCUAAUACCGCAUACGACCUACGGGUGAAAGCAGGGGAUCUUCGGACCUUGCGCGAUUGAAUGAGCCGAUGUCGGAUUAGCUAGUUGGCGGGGUAAAGGCCCACCAAGGCGACGAUCCGUAGCUGGUCUGAGAGGAUGAUCAGCCACACUGGAACUGAGACACGGUCCAGACUCCUACGGGAGGCAGCAGUGGGGAAUAUUGGACAAUGGGCGCAAGCCUGAUCCAGCCAUACCGCGUGGGUGAAGAAGGCCUUCGGGUUGUAAAGCCCUUUUGUUGGGAAAGAAAAGCAGCAGGUUAAUACCCCGCUGUUCUGACGGUACCCAAAGAGUAAGCACCGGCUAACUUCGUG